rnacentral:rRNA from 1 species
UAUAACACCAUAGGACUGGCCGUCCCAUAUGAAAAGAUUAUAUUAGAAUUGAAUGAAGCUUUGUUUAUAUAUUGAUAAUGACAGUAUGCAUACCGUGUCUUGACUAAUUGCGUGCCAGCAGUCGCGGUAAUACGUAAGAGACUAGCGUUAUUCAUCUUAAUUAGGUUUAAAGGGUACCCAGACGGUCAAUAUAGCUUAUAAAGUGUUAGUACUUGACUAGAGUUUUAUGUAAGAGGGCAGUACUAUGAGGAGGAGAGAUGAAAUUUCGUGAUACCUUAGGGACUCUGUAAAGGCGAAGGCAGCCCUCCAUGUAAAAACUGACGUUGAAGGACGAAGGCACAGAGGACAAACAGGAUUAGAUACCCAAGUAGUCUUUGCAGUAAAUGAUGAAUGCCAUAGGUUAGAUGGGUGGGCUAGUCUAGUCGAGUUAGUUUGAGCAAACUAAUGAUCUAGACGAGCCCACCAUAUAUUUGGUCUAUAAAUGAAAGUGUAAGCAUUUCACCUCAAGAGUAAUGUGGCAACGCAGGAAC